rnacentral:lncRNA from 1 species
GAGGAAGAUCCAACACGCAUUUCUGGCAUUUUCCACCGGGGUGAUUGCCCGAACUCCCAACCUAACAUCCCGAGCCUCGGCAGCCCCCCGAAGAAAACCUGCUCCCUGAAGUCUGGAAGGCAGCUUCCCUCCGAAAGUUCUUCUUACCCGAAGUGCAAAUUUAAAAAAACAAAACAAAACCAAACCCUCGGGGAGAGCUCAUUUUUUCCACAGCUUGUGGCUUGGCUGAGUCACCCUCUGCCUUUCCCGGAGUCACGAGUUUUUCCUCGUACUUGCAGGAGCGCGGGCCUCCGCCCAGGUCUGUCCGCCCACAGCUGGUCCCUGCUGGGAAGGGGCGGAUGGACUGACAGACAGGACAGGCGGACCAGCAGCCUCCCCACAGCCGCAGGGCACUUCCCAGAGCUCCAGCCGGAGGCGACGGGGAUGGCGGCGCUGGAACCAGGGACCAGGAGGACACUGAGGCCCCGGAGGGUCCUGGGCCAGCGGGGAGACCAGCCCCCGGGGGUACUGACCCCUCUCAGCUCCAGGGCCGACGGGUACAGAGGCCCGGCUGCCCCAUCGGGACUCAGCACUGCGGGUGCUUAUUCAUCCGGAAGCACCUAAGAGGGUAAAGUGGGGCAGAGGGACCCACGGACAGGGUGGGGACUGUCGCGGAUGGGGUCACGUGCCCAAUCUGAAGGGGACAGUUCCACCCGGAGACCGGGGACCGUGUUUUCUGAUCCUCUGAUUUACCAGAAGGUGAAAAUCCUGAUCCAAACGUGAAAGCUCUCCCUGAGAGUCGGGGGGCUCUGUGAGGCCACGGCCUGUCCCCGUGCGGAGCUAACCGCAGGGAGGGUGGGAGCGGCCCUCCCCGCCGGCCACCUCCACCCCUUCCCUCUCCGGCCUCUCCCGCCGGCCCUUCUCCUCCCCUGCCUCAUCCCCUUCCCUCCUUAGUCUGCCUGCCAGCCGCACCCCUGGCUGUACCCCAGGCCUGGAGGGGCACAUCCCCUCCAUCCCCUCCUCACGGGCUGUGCCCGCCGGCCGCACCCCCACCGCUGCCGGGCUCAGGCCCCCUGGCUCCAGCCUCCAGCCUCCAGCCCAGAGCAUCUCUGGCUCCUGCCUCCCCGCCCGUGGACACCGCGUGGCCCAGCCGGCUCCUCUCCGAAGCGCCCGGGGCCUGCCCUUCUGCGCGCGUCUAGGGAGCCUGGCCUCGCUCUAGCGCUGGACGCACGGAGGGAGAGGAGUACAGGGCGGCCGGGGGCUCCCUGCCCAGCUGGGGGGACAAGCCCUGGGCACUAAGCAAGUGAGCGGGUAAGAUGUACACACUGUACACCUGGGUGAGGUCGCGCGGGGUGGGGGUCGGGGUGCGGAGCUGCCCGAGGGCCGGGGAGCGAGGGCCGGGACCCCAGAGCCAAAGGUGUAGCCAUCCCAGGAAGGUGUAGGGGGGAGGGACGUGCAAAGGCCCAGAGGUGGGACCGCCUUGGGGUUUUGAGGAAGAGGAAGAGGACGUGGGAGAUGAAGUGCGGGGAGUGGGGUGACCAGAGGGAGGCUGGGCAGGCCUCCUGGAGGGGCGAGGACUUGAACUUCCUUCCCCGUCCCAGGAGGCGGGAGGGCCUGGGUGGGGACGCAGCACAUGAGGAGCCUCGUCCACCAAACCCGAUUCUCCUUCAGGCUCCGCUCAGGUUUCAAAGGUCCCGUGAUAAGGUUAAAAUGUAAAAAGGAUUAAACGCUGCCGGUUUGUCGGUUUGUCACACGCGGAAACCUACAGUAGUUGCUGAGGGAAGACUGGCAGCCGGCAGCAGGGAGCCCCCCAGGCAGUCGCGCCCGCGGUGACACCCCCGCUGCCCUCGGGGUCCCGUGAGCACCCUCUCCAGCGCAGGGCGAGCAGCCUGGGUGUGGGGUGCGUACAGCAGGGGACCAGGGGGCAGGGGGGACCCGGGGGAGUCACCCUGGAG